GAUGAAGAACGUAGCGAAAUGCGAUAAGUAGUGUGAAUUGCAGAAUUCUGUGAAUCAUCGAAUCUUUGAACGCACAUUGCGCCCCAUGGUAUUCCGUGGGGCAUGCCUGUUCGAGCGUCAUUUACCCCCUCAAGCUCCGCUUGGUGUUGGGCGUCUGUCCCGCUUCGCGCGCGGACUCGCCCCAAAGGUAUUGGCAGCGGUCGUGCCAGCUUCUCGCGCAGCACAUUGCGCUUCUCGAGGCACCGGUGGGCCCGCGUCCAUCAAGCUCACCCCCCCAGUUUGACCUCGGAUCAGGUAGGGAUACCCGCUGAACUUAAGCAUAUCAAUAAGCGGAGGA
rnacentral:misc_RNA from 1 species